AAGCCAUUGACGUAGUACGGCGAGUGAGCGGCAACAGCUCAAAUUUGAAAUCUGGCUCUUUUAGGGUCCGAGUUGUAAUUUGCAGAGGGCGCUUUGGCUUUGGCAGCGGUCCAAGUUCCUUGGAACAGGACGUCACAGAGGGUGAGAAUCCCGUACGUGGUCGCUAGCUAUUGCCGUGUAAAGCCCCUUCGACGAGUCGAGUUGUUUGGGAAUGCAGCUCUAAAUGGGAGGUAAAUUUCUUCUAAAGCUAAAUAUUGGCCAGAGACCGAUAGCGCACAAGUAGAGUGAUCGAAAGAUGAAAAGCACUUUGGAAAGAGAGUCAAACAGCACGUGAAAUUGUUGAAAGGGAAGCGCUUGCAGCCAGACUUGCUUGCAGUUGCUCAUCCGGGCUUUUGCCCGGUGCACUCUUCUGUAGGCAGGCCAGCAUCAGUUUGGGCGGUGGGAUAAAGGUCUCUGUCACGUACCUCUCUUCGGGGAGGCCUUAUAGGGGAGACGACAUACCACCAGCCUAGACUGAGGUCCGCGCAUCUGCUAGGAUGCUGGCGUAAUGGCUGUAAGCGGCCCGUCUUGAAA
rnacentral:rRNA from 1 species